rnacentral:rRNA from 1 species
GGUCACUGCUAUUGGGAUCCGACUAAGACAUGCAAGUCAGAGCUUUUGCUCGGCGAACGGCUCAGCAACACGUAGUCAACCUGCCCUUAGGUAAGGGAUAAUCUCGGGAAACUGAGCAUAAUACCUUAUAGGAAAAGAGACCUGGAACGCCUUUUUUCUCAAAGAUUUAUCGCCUAAGGAUGGGACUGCGCAUGAUUAGGCAGUUGGUAGUGUAAAGGACCACCAAACCUAUAAUCAUUACGGGCCAUGAGAGUGGUUGCCCGGAGAGGGGGACUGAGACAAGGCCCCCAGCCCUACGGGGUGCAGCAGUUACGAAACCCUUACAAUGCACGAAAGUGUGAUAAGGGGAUCCCAAGUGUCAUAGCUAUGCUAUGACUGUGGCGAAGUGUAAAGAGCUUCGCAAGAAAGAGGUGGGUAAUACCGGUGCCAGCAGCCGCGGUAAUCCCGGAGCCUCGAGUGGUGACCAUAUUUAUUGGGCCUAAAGCGCCCGUAGCCUGGUUAAUAAGUUUUCGGUGAAAUUGUUUAGCUUAACUAAACGAAUUGCCUUAAAUACUGUUAACCUAGGGAUAGGGAGAGAUCAGGAGUAUGCUAAGGGGAGGGGUAAAAUCCUUUAAUCCUUAGUAGACUAUCAAUGGCGAAGGCACCUGAUUGGAACUAGUCCGACGGUGAGGGACGAAAGUUAGGGUAGCAAACGGGAUUAGAUACCCCGGUAGUCCUAACCGUAAACGCUGCCCGUUGGGUAUUGCAAAUACCUCGUGUUUUUGCAGUGCCGUAGUGAAGACGAUAAACGGGCCGCCUGGGGAGUACGGUCGCAAGGCUAAAAC